CCUACGGGAGGCAGCAGUGAGGAAUAUUGGUCAAUGGACGAGAGUCUGAACCAGCCAAGUAGCGUGAAGGAUGACUGCCCUAUGGGUUGUAAACUUCUUUUAUAUGGGAAUAAAAUGUUCCACGUGUGGGAUUUUGUAUGUACCAUAUGAAUAAGGAUCGGCUAACUCCGUGCCAGCAGCCGCGGUAAUACGGAGGAUCCGAGCGUUAUCCGGAUUUAUUGGGUUUAAAGGGAGCGUAGGUGGAUUGUUAAGUCAGUCGUGAAAGUUUGCGGCUCAACCGUAAAAUUGCAGUUGAAACUGGCAGUCUUGAGUACAGUAGAGGUGGGCGGAAUUCGUGGUGUAGCGGUGAAAUGCUUAGAUAUCACGAAGAACUCCGAUUGCGAAGGCAGUUCACUGGACUGCAACUGACACUGAGGCUCGAAAGUGUGGGUAUCAAACAGGAUUAGAUACCCGUGUAGUC
rnacentral:rRNA from 1 species